GGAGGGAGCGAGCGUUGUUCGGAAUCACUGGGCGUAAAGGGCGCGUAGGCGGCCGAGUAAGUCGUGUGUGAAAGACCGGGGCUCAACUCCGUGUACUGCAUGCGAUACUGCCCGGCUAGAGAAAGGUAGAGGCGAGUGGAAUUCCCGGUGUAGCGGUGGAAUGCGUAGAUAUCGGGAAGAACACCUGUGGCGAAGGCGGCUCGCUGGGCCUUUUCUGACGCUGAAGUGCGAAAGCGUGGGGAGCAAACAGGAUUAGAUACCCUGGUAGUCCACGCCGUAAACGAUGGGCACUAGGCGUUGGGAGGAUUGACCCUCUCAGUGCCGUAGCUAACGCGUUAAGUGCCCCCGCCCCGGGGAUACGGCCGCAAGGCUG
rnacentral:rRNA from 1 species